rnacentral:rRNA from 1 species
CGAACGCUGGCGGCAGGCCUAACACAUGCAAGUCGAGCGCCCGCAAGGGAGCGGCGGACGGGUGAGUAACGCGUGGGAACGUACCCUUUGCUACGGAAUAGCCUCGGGAAACUGGGAGUAAUACCGUAUGUGCCCUUCGGGGGAAAGAUUUAUCGGCAAAGGAUCGGCCCGCGUUGGAUUAGGUAGUUGGUGGGGUAAUGGCCUACCAAGCCGACGAUCCAUAGCUGGUUUGAGAGGAUGAUCAGCCACACUGGGACUGAGACACGGCCCAGACUCCUACGGGAGGCAGCAGUGGGGAAUCUUAGACAAUGGGCGCAAG